rfam:Gossypium hirsutum cultivar TM-1 chromosome 12, whole genome shotgun sequence
AUCCCAUGAUGAGGGCACUUAUGAAGUAAUUCCUUGAAUCUUUCCCAUGCUUCAUACAAGGACUCAUCAUCCAAUUGUGAAAAAAUGGUUAUCUCAUUUCACAACUU